UACGUAGGGUGCAAGCGUUAAUCGGAAUUACUGGGCGUAAAGCGCACGUAGGCGGCUUUGUAAGUUAGAGGUGAAAGCCCGGGGCUCAACUCCGGAAUUGCCUUUAAGACUGCAUCGCUUGAGUUGUGGAGAGGUAAGUGGAAUUCCGAGUGUAGAGGUGAAAUUCGUAGAUAUUCGGAAGAACACCAGUGGCGAAGGCGACUUACUGGACACAUACUGACGCUGAGGUGCGAAAGCGUGGGGAGCAAACAGG
rnacentral:rRNA from 1 species